CGGUAAUUCCAGCUCCAAUAGCGUAUCCUAAAGUUGUUGCAGUUAAAAAGCUCGUAGUUGGAUUUCUGCGGGGACGGAGCGGCCGGUCGCAACUUGCGACUCGAGCUAGCGCUUUCCCCGCAUCCUGCCGCGAACCGUGCUACCAUUAGCUUGGUGGCGCUGGGGAUCGGCUCGAUUACUUUGAGAAAAAUAGAGUGUUCAAAGCAGGCCACACGCCUUGAAUAAGUUAGCAUGGAAUAAUGACUAAGGACUUUGGUUCUUUUCGUUGGUGUUCGGGACUGAAGUAAUGAUUGAUAGGGACAGUUGGGGCGGUCCGUAUUCCAAAGCGAGAGGUGAAAUUCUUAGACCUUCGGAAGACGAACAGCUGCGAAAGCGUUCCGCAAGGAUGUUCCCUUUGAUCAAGAACGAAAGUUGGGGGAUCGAAGACGAUCAGAUACCGUCGUAGUCUCAACUAUAAACUAUACCAGCUAGGGAUCGGCCAACGUUUAAUUUAUCGACUUGGUCGGCACCUUAUGAGAAAUCAAAGCAUCUGGGUUCCGGGGGGAGUAUGGUCGCAAGGCUGAAACUUAAAGGAAUUGACGGAAGGGCACCACCAGCCGUGGAGCCUGUGGCUUAAUUUGACUCAACACGGGAAAACUUACCAGGUCCGGACAUAGUAAGGAUUGACAGAUUGAUAGCUCUUUCUUGAUUCUGUGGGUGGUGGUGCAUGGCCGUUUUUAGUCGGUGGAUGUGAUCUGUCUGCUUAAUUGCGUUAACGGACGAGACCCCAGCCUGCUAAAUAGCGCGGCUGAGCUUUGCUCGGUGCGAGCUUCUUAGAGGAACCAUGAUGCGCGAUAGCACAAGGAAGUUUGGGGCAACAACAGGUCUGUGAUGCCCUUAGAUGUUCUGGGCCGCACACGGGCUACACUGGCGCCUGCAACGAGCAUAUCAGCUGGCCCGAGAGGGUCUUGGCUAAUCUUUGGAACCGGCGCCGUGCUUGGGAUUGACCAUUGCAAUUGUUGGUCAUGCAACGAGGAAUGCCUUGUAAACGCGAGUCAUCAGCUCGCAUUGAAUACGUCCCUGCCCCUUGUACACACCGCCC
rnacentral:rRNA from 1 species